AUGAACGCUGGCGGCGUGCCUAAUACAUGCAAGUAGAACGCUGAAGGAAGGAGCUUGCUCUUUCCGGAUGAGUUGCGAACGGGUGAGUAACGCGUAGGUAACCUGCCUGGUAGCGGGGGAUAACUAUUGGAAACGAUAGCUAAUACCGCAUAACAGUAGAUGUUGCAUGAUAUCUACUUAAAAGGUGCAAUUGCACCACUACCAGAUGGACCUGCGUUGUAUUAGCUAGUUGGUGAGGUAACGGCUCACCAAGGCGACGAUACAUAGCCGACCUGAGAGGGUGAUCGGCCACACUGGGACUGAGACACGGCCCAGACUCCUACGGGAGGCAGCAGUAGGGAAUCGUCGGCAAUGGACGGAAGUCUGACCGAGCAACGCCGCGUGAGUGAAGAAGGUUGUCGGAUCGUAAAGCUCUGUUGUAAGAGAAGAACGAGUGUGAGAGUGGAAAGUUCACACUGUGACGGUAUCUGACCAGAAAGGGACGGCUAACUACGUG
rnacentral:rRNA from 1 species